rnacentral:rRNA from 1 species
GAUGAACGCUGGCGGCGUGCCUAAUACAUGCAAGUCGAGCGAAUGGAUUGAGAGCUUGCUCUUAUGAAGUUAGCGGCGGACGGGUGAGUAACACGUGGGUAACCUGCCCAUAAGACUGGGAUAACUCCGGGAAACCGGGGCUAAUACCGGAUAACAUUUUGAACCGCAUGGUUCGAAAUUGAAAGGCGGCUUCGGCUGUCACUUAUGGAUGGACCCGCGUCGCAUUAGCUAGUUGGUGAGGUAACGGCUCACCAAGGCAACGAUGCGUAGCCGACCUGAGAGGGUGAGCGGCCACACUGGGACUGAGACACGGCACAGACUCCUACGGGAGGCAGCAGUAGGGAAUCUUCCGCAAUGGACGAAAGUCUGACGGAGCAACGCCGCGUGAGUGAUGAAGGCUUUCGGGUCGUAAAACUCUGUUGUUAGGGAAGAACAAGUGCUAGUUGAAUAAGCUGGCACCUUGACGGUACCUAACCAGAAAACCACGGCUAACUACGUGCCAGCCGCCGCGGUAA